rnacentral:misc_RNA from 1 species
GAAAUGCGAUAAGUAAUGUGAAUUGCAGAAUUCAGUGAAUCAUCGAAUCUUUGAACGCACCUUGCGCUCCUUGGUAUUCCUUGGAGCAUGCCUGUUUGAGUAUCAUGAAAUCUUCAAAGUAAAUCUUUUGUUAACUCAAUUGGUUUCUACUUUGGUAUUGGAGGUCUUUGCAGCUUCACACCUGCUCCUCUUUGUUCAUUAGCUGGAUCUCAGUGUUAUGCUUGGUUCCACUCGGCGUGAUAAGUUAUCUAUCGUUGAGGACACUGUAAAAGGUGGCCAAGGUAAAUGCAGAUGAACCGCUUCUAAUAGUCCAUUGACUUGGACAAUACUUUUAUGAUCUGAUCUCAAAUCAGGUAGGACUACCCGCUGAACUUAAGC